rnacentral:tRNA from 1 species
CGGGGUGUGGCGCAGAUUGGUAGCGUGCUUGACUGGGGGUCAAGAGGCCGCAGGUUCAAGUCCUGUCACUCCGACCA